rnacentral:rRNA from 1 species
CGGUCCCUAUCCGUCGUGGGCGUAGGAAAUUUGAGAGGAGCUGUCCUUAGUACGAGAGGACCGGGAUGGACGCACCGCUGGUGUACCAGUUGUUCUGCCAAGGGCAUAGCUGGGUAGCUAUGUGCGGAAGGGAUAAGUGCUGAAAGCAUCUAAGCAUGAAGCCCCCCUCAAGAUGAGAUUUCCCAUAGCGUAAGCUAGUAAGAUCCCUGAAAGAUGAUCAGGUUGAUAGGUUCGAGGUGGAAGCAUGGUGACAUGUGGAGCUGACGAAUACUAAUAGAUCGAGGACUUAACCAUAUAA